rnacentral:rRNA from 1 species
UAGCAUAUCAAUAAGCGGAGGAAAAGAAACUAACAAGGAUUCCCCUAGUAGCGGCGAGCGAAGCGGGAAGAGCUCAAAUUUGUAAUCUGGCACAUUCGGUGUCCGAGUUGUAAUCUCUAGAAGUGUUUUCCGCGUUGGACCGCACACAAGUCUGUUGGAAUACAGCGGCAUAGUGGUGAUACCCCAUUACACGGUGCGGACGCCCAGCGCUUUGUGAUACACUUUCGACGAGUCGAGUUGUUUGGGAAUGCAGCUCAAAUUGGGUGGUAAAUUCCAUCUAAAGCUAAAUAUUGGCGAGAGACCGAUAGCGAACAAGUACCGUGAGGGAAAGAUGAAAAGCACUUUGGAAAGAGAGUUAAAAGUACGUGAAAUUGUUGGAAGGGAAACGCUUGAAGUCAGACUUGCUUGCCGGGCUUGCUCGGUUUGCAGGCCAGCAUCAGUUUUCUGGGACGGAUAAUGGCAGUUAGAAUGUAGCAGUCUCGGCUGUGUUAUAGCUUUCUGCUGGAUACGUCCUGGGGGACUGAGGAACGCAGCGUGCCGUAUGGCGAGGGCUUCGGUCCUUUCACGCUUAGGAUGCUGGUGGAAUGGCUUUAAACGACCCGUCUUGAAACACGGACCAAGGAGUCUAACAUGCUUGCGAGUAUUUGGGUGUCAAACCCGGAUGCGUAAUGAAAGUGAAUGGAGGUGGGAAGCGCAAGCUGCACCAUCGACCGAUCUGGAUUUUCUAAGAUGGAUUUGAGUAAGAGCACGUAUGUUGGGACCCGAAAGAUGGUGAACUAUGCCUGAAUAGGGCGAAGCCAGAGGAAACUCUGGUGGAGGCUCGUAGCGGUUUCUGACGUGCAAAUCGAUCGUCAAAUUUGG